GGACUUUUGUGUAAUGUUAGCUUUACAUGCUUGAGAUAAGACAUUUGAUGCAAUCAUCUAAGAAAGCUGGAUGACAAUUAGAAGAAAACCAACUGGAUAAAAUACAGAUUUAUUAAAUAUCUACUAUUGGUGAAUAAGUGGACCUGGUUUGGGGGGACUUCCCAAGUCAGGCAACCCUCUGCAAUGGGACUCUAGAAACAAUGAGACGACAACUGUGACAGGAAGAAGGUAUUACCAAAGAAAUUCUAGUCGACGCAUCAUUAUAUAACCUUUCUCAUCCAAGAAUGUCUUUGGAAAUUGAAAUCUGUACCCAAGAAAAUGAUCAAAGGUUUUUCACGCUGUCACAGAAAUAGAUGUCACUAAAAUAAAUGAGCCAAUAAAG